rnacentral:rRNA from 1 species
CCUACGGGUGGCAGCAGUGAGGAAUAUUGGUCAAUGGACGAGAGUCUGAACCAGCCAAGUAGCGUGAAGGAUGACUGCCCUAUGGGUUGUAAACUUCUUUUAUAUGGGAAUAAAAUGUUCCACGUGUGGGAUUUUGUAUGUACCAUAUGAAUAAGGAUCGGCUAACUCCGUGCCAGCAGCCGCGGUAAUACGGAGGAUCCGAGCGUUAUCCGGAUUUAUUGGGUUUAAAGGGAGCGUAGGUGGAUUGUUAAGUCAGUUGUGAAAGUUUGCGGCUCAACCGUAAAAUUGCAGUUGAAACUGGCAGUCUUGAGUACGGUAGAGGUGGGCGGAAUGCGUGGUGUAGCGGUGAAAUGCUUAGAUAUCACGAAGAACUCCGAUUGCGAAGGCAGUUCACUGGACUGCAACUGACACUGAGGCUCGAAAGUGUGGGUAUCAAACAGGAUUAGAGACCCUAGUAGUC